AUUCUUGCAAGUGAACAACUAUCAAACUCAGACUCCAUCAAUGGAUCCUUCAAGCAAUCACCAAAAACAGAACAAGUUGAAUCCUCACUUCUCCAUAAUCCAUCUUCAGAAACACUCGGUGAAAUCAUAGUAGUAGUAGUAGUAGAAGAUGAUGAAUCCAUAGUUUCUUUAACUUUACUCUCAUUCUCACUCUUUUUCUUUGCAGCCUUUUUAGCUUUCUCCCUUUUCACCCUCUGACAAAUAGCUUGAAUCUUAGCAUCCACUGCAUUCUUCACAGCAUUCAUUUUCUCUCCAUCUCCAAAUCCCAACUUACUCGGAUCGCGAACAUUAGGAAAAUUCAAUCUUGCAUAUUCGCCACGAAGCUUAUAAGCUGCUCUAUCAUAAGCAUAAGCAGCAGCUUCAGCAGUUUCAUAAGUACCUAACCAAACUCUCAUUCUAUUCUGUGGAAGUCUUAUCUCAGCAACCCAUUUUCCCCAAUGCCUCUGUCUGACUCCCCUGUAUAGUUUUUUCUUCUCUGGAAGCUUAUAACUUUGUGUAUACAAAGAGUUUCGAAAAGGGAUUGUUUUCGAAGUUGUUGGUAUUGAGAUAUUUGCUAUGUUUUCUUGACAGAAUUUUUGUAGCAAAUCUCUUUGUCUGAGGUAGACUGAAGUACCUAAAGGCUCAAAAACAGGACUAUUACUCAUUUGGUUAUUUUCUUGACAAUGAGAAAAAAUUGUAUCGAAUGUGUUUGUACUACUUGUUAGAAUUAGUUGAGAUAAUGAAGAUCGAAUUUGAGCACCCUCAUCAAAUAUACUAGACAUAGAGUUGUUUUCUUGAAUUCUGUCCAUUUAUAAUAACUUCAUAAAAUGAGAGAACAGAGUUCAGGAAAACAGAGUAAAACAGAGGAAUUGCCCCUUUUUUUUACUGAUCCAGAGAAAAAAAGAGGAUCAAUGAAGAAACCCGAGGCCUUUAGUGAGUUAUAGACAGUUUGAAAAACUUAAUUUUGUUUCUAAUUGCGAAAACUUUAGAG
rnacentral:misc_RNA from 1 species